GUUUGGGGAAAGUUUUCUUUGGUUCUGUGGUUGUGAAAUAGUGGUUUGUCGAAGUACUAAGUCCCCCACUCUGAAGGCUUUGCUCUUGACCUGGGAGUUGUAGUAGCGGGCUACUUUCUGCUUGUAGGCUGCCAUCCGAACUUGAGCUAUUUUCCGCUUUUCUUCUAACAAGUCGAGGUUGGCCUUGAGAUCCUGUGAGUUAUGCUGCUCGUCGAAUGCCACGACUCGCACCGACGGAAGCUUGAGUUCGAUCAGAAUCAUGGCUUCUGUUCCGAAGGCUAAGGCAAAGGGGAUCUCUCCCAUGAGCAGUCUCUGGGUAGUUCGGUAUGCCCACAACACAUGAUAAAGCUCAUCCGCCC
rnacentral:lncRNA from 1 species